CCCGUGCGCGGGAGAAUGUCCCUGGGCAGGGCGUGACGCUAAACCUAGGUCGCACGAGGCCUUUCAGAGAUUCCUCCCACCACAAAGCCCCAUCACUGUACAGAAGGCUUUUUGCAAAAUAGGAGUUUCUCAGCUUUUCCGAAGAGGUUCCUAAAUGUGGCUGUAACCCUGACGUGAGAGUCGCUCCCGCCCCUACCUUCAUCCCCCACAUUUCAGGAGUCCCCUAUGUAUUCUACAAAACACAAAACGACCAUUUGAGCCACUUUAGUCCUUCUCAGCAUUAGGUGACUGAUUUACAUCAGAAUAAAACUAGAGUUUCUUGCAGGUCUUAAUGUAAUUAAAAUGCACCAUCCCUGUAUGUUCCCAAAGGAUUAGGAGGAAAAGUGUUUGGACAGGGGACUGAUCUUCAAUAGGUCUUCACAGCUUGGUUUAUACGAUCACUUUUAAGCUCUCUUCCACCUAGUUGUCACUGAGAAUUCGGUUUGAGAGGAAAUGGCUUUCUAGACGAUUUUUCAUCUAGAUGAUUUUUCAUCAUAUUCAACUAAGAGUCUUUCUCAUCCUCUAGCUCUCUGAAUGUCGAAAAAUAUAAUAGAAACUCUGCAUUGAUUUCCAAAGUUCUGAUUUCCAGAGGAGCCCUACUCUCCUGUCCUGCCUACAUUGCGUGCCCUCUAACAUCCUGGGAAUGGGAAAUAACACUGGGAUCGGUAGCGGCAGAACUGCGCACCCUAACUUCUGAUUGUUGAAAGGGGGAGGGGAGAAUGGAAGAGAGGAAUGGAAAGGCAAAAGAAAAAACAUUUGUGUUCAUUUACACAUUUCCUGUGCAGAACAAAAAAGUCCCACCAUCAGCAAAAGAAGUCUCUUCCUCCAAAAUAGCAGCCAAAGAGAGAAAAUUAGAAUAUGCAUAAAGUCUUUCAUUUUCAUUCGCACAGAGCACGAUUUCCAAUUUCCGGCAGAUUUGUAUUUAAACUGCUCGAUUAAUCCCAAUUUCUGAACAGCAUUUUACUUAGCAUUUUCCCAAAACUCACCUAAAGAGUUAUUAUUCCCCUCCCAUCACCCUGUUCGGGAGCCUCCCUUUUCCCUAUUCUCUGACUGAGAAUAAGAAUUUCAUUGAUAAGACUGUAACUUUAUUUUUCCUGUCCAUUGUUUUCCUUUUAAAACUAGGCUGAUGCAUUGGACCACACUUGAAUGCAAGCUGGUUGUUGUCUGUGAAGUCGCGACUGCAAACGAGAGCCUGUUGGAAAGGAUAUGUUUUUGAAAUGUGUACCUAAAAGAGAAUAAACAUGAUAGGGCCAAUAGACUCUUGCAGAUCCUCUCAUAUCAUCAAACCUUUUCCUAUUCUACCCAGGUCAUCUUUUCACCACUAGAAAUAGCUGAGAUGCUUGGACAUAAUCCACCCUCCAAACCUUUCCUUCCCUCACUCCUUUUGAGGAGCUUGAUAGACAAUCAUAGAAUCCUCUUCAAAGGAAUAUUCCUCUUAAAUAUUCAGAGUGUCAGUCCAUUAAAUCUCCCUACAGCCCAUUACUAAAAUAUUUUGCUUUGCCACUUGUGCAACAGAUCUGGCUGUAUCUGCCUUGAAAUUUUCUUUGUUGGAAAAAAUGUUAUUGAGCUUCAUUUGAAUAUCUUUUCUGAAAUAUCAUCUCUUGACUUGG